GGGGGCGGGGAGGCGGCCACAACAUGCAAGUUCGAGCGGUAGCACAGAGAGCUUGCUCUCGGGUGACGAGCGGCGGACGGGUGAGUAAUGUCUGGGAAACUGCCUGAUGGAGGGGGAUAACUACUGGAAACGGUAGCUAAUACCGCAUAAUGUCGCAAGACCAAAGUGGGGGACCUUCGGGCCUCAUGCCAUCAGAUGUGCCCAGAUGGGAUUAGCUAGUAGGUGGGGUAACGGCUCACCUAGGCGACGAUCCCUAGCUGGUCUGAGAGGAUGACCAGCCACACUGGAACUGAGACACGGUCCAGACUCCUACGGGAGGCAGCAGUGGGGAAUAUUGCACAAUGGGCGCAAGCCUGAUGCAGCCAUGCCGCGUGUGUGAAGAAGGCCUUCGGGUUGUAAAGCACUUUCAGCGGGGAGGAAGGCGAUAAGGUUAAUAACCUUGUCGAUUGACGUUACCCGCAGAAGAAGCACCGGCUAACUCCGUGCCAGCAGCCGCGGUAAUACGGAGGGUGCAAGCGUUAAUCGGAAUUACUGGGCGUAAAGCGCACGCAGGCGGUCUGUCAAGUCGGAUGUGAAAUCCCCGGGCUUAACCUGGGAACUGCAUUCGAAACUGGCAGGCUAGAGUCUUGUAGAGGGGGGGUAGAAUUCCAGGUGUAGCGGUGAAAUGCGUAGAGAUCUGGAGGAAUACCGGUGGCGAAUGCGGCCGCCUGGACAAAGACUGACGCUCAGGUGCGAAAGCGUGGGGAGCAAACAGGAUUAGAUACCCUGGUAGUCCACGCCGUAAACGAUGUCGAUUUGGAGGUUGUGCCCUUGAGGCGUGGCUUCCGGAGCUAACGCGUUAAAUCGACCGCCUGGGGAGUACGGCCGCAAGGUUAAAACUCAAAUGAAUUGACGGGGGCCCGCACAAGCGGUGGAGCAUGUGGUUUAAUUCGAUGCAACGCGAAGAACCUUACCUGGUCUUGACAUCCACAGAACUUUCCAGAGAUGGAUUGGUGCCUUCGGGAACUGUGAGACAGGUGCUGCAUGGCUGUCGUCAGCUCGUGUUGUGAAAUGUUGGGUUAAGUCCCGCAACGAGCGCAACCCUUAUCCUUUGUUGCCAGCGGUUAGGCCGGGAACUCAAAGGAGACUGCCAGUGAUAAACUGGAGGAAGGUGGGGAUGACGUCAAGUCAUCAUGGCCCUUACGACCAGGGCUACACACGUGCUACAAUGGCAUAUACAAAGAGAAGCGACCUCGCGAGAGCAAGCGGACCUCAUAAAGUAUGUCGUAGUCCGGAUUGGAGUCUGCAACUCGACUCCAUGAAGUCGGAAUCGCUAGUAAUCGUAGAUCAGAAUGCUACGGUGAAUACGUUCCCGGGCCUUGUACACACCGCCCGUCACACCAUGGGAGUGGGUUGCAAAAGAAGUAGGUAGCUUAACCUUCGGGAGGGCGCUACUCACUGUGUCUUCUAUGCUCGG
rnacentral:rRNA from 1 species